rnacentral:rRNA from 1 species
AGCGAACGCUGGCGGCAGGCCUAAUACAUGCAAGUCGAACGCACCUUCGGGUGAGUGGCGGACGGGUGAGUAACGCGUGGGAACGUGCCCUUUGGUACGGAACAACUGAGGGAAACUUCAGCUAAUACCGUAUGUGCCCUUCGGGGGAAAGAUUUAUCGCCAUUGGAGCGGCCCGCGUUGGAUUAGCUAGUUGGUAGGGUAAAGGCCUACCAAGGCUACGAUCCAUAGCUGGUCUGAGAGGAUGAUCAGCCACACUGGGACUGAGACACGGCCCAGACUCCUACGGGAGGCAGCAGUAGGGAAUCUUGCGCAAUGGGCGAAAGCCUGACGCAGCCAUGCCGCGUGAAUGAUGAAGGUCUUAGGAUUGUAAAAUUCUUUCACCGGGGAAGAUAAUGACGGUACCCGGAGAAGAAGCCCCGGCUAACUUCGUG